AGCGAAUCUAUAUAAUAUCGACCCCAAAUUUUAGAGAUAAAAACUUAUUUGAGUUGAGUUGAGUUUCUGUCUUGUAAUAUAACGCAAGUGAGCAGACUUCUUAUCAUAUUGACGAUAAAAUCUCGUUAAUUGAUAGUUUGGGCAUAAGAGAAUGACGAAACUUCCAAGCAGAAGGAGAGUAAAGUGGUUAUUGACUUUAAAAAUCAAAGGGACAUUUCCUUGCACCGACUGCCAAUUUGCACCGACUAUUCGAGUUUCCUUUGGUUACUUUUCCAUUCAUCUCCUUCCAAACGAAGGCUUAAACUAGCGUACA
rnacentral:misc_RNA from 1 species